rnacentral:misc_RNA from 1 species
CUUUUGCGGAGUUAGAGGAGUUAAAAGCUGUGACUUGUGAGGCUUGUGAGGGAUGUGAAUUGUUUAUGGGAACCUGGAAAUCUUAGAGGAAAUUAUCUGAAGGGGAGAAAGAAAAGGUAUCCCUUUAUUUUGAAUUUUUUUUCAUAUUUAAAGAAAGUGAUUUAUGAGAAUCUGCCAUUUUCAAGAUUCUUGUUCCAGAAAAGUUUGGCAAGAAUUCAAAUCUCGUUUCUAUAAUCUGCCGUGAGCAAUCUUUUAUUGGAGGAUGAUUUAAAAGACGGAAGAAAAUAGUAGGUGAAGAAGGUGGUUAAUCUGAGUUGGAUAUAUACGCAGGAAAUAGCUAGUAGGCGCAAGGUGUUGGAGGAGAAUCAAGAAAUUAGAUAUGAGUGGAAAAGAUCCGGUGAAGCUUGAUGACGACCAACUGGCGGAGCUACGUGAAAUUUUCCGGUCAUUUGAUCGGAAUAAGGACGGUAGCUUGACGCAACUGGAGUUGGGAUCAUUACUUCGGUCGCUUGGUCUAAAGCCAAGCGAAGACCAGUUGGAGGCUUUGAUACAGAAAGCAGACAAGAACAGCAAUGGUAUGAUCGAGUUCUCGGAGUUUGUAGCCCUUGUGGAGCCUGACCUCCUUCAGACUAAGUGCCCCUACACAGAGGAUCAAUUGAAGAAGAUAUUUAGCAUGUUUGAUAGGGAUGGGAAUGGAUAUAUUACUCCGGCAGAGUUGGCUCAUUCCAUGGCCAAGUUGGGGCAUGCUUUGACGGCUGAAGAGUUGACAGGGAUGAUCAAGGAGGCAGAUACAGAUGGUGAUGGGUGUAUCAACUUUCAGGAGUUUGCUCAGGCUAUUACCUCUGCUGCUUUUGACAAUUCUUGGUGCUGAAGGUAUUGAGAUCAUUUUUUUUUCCCCUCUUUUUUCCGUGCUUUCUAUAGUAUGUUUGGAAGCAAAGAAAAUUGGUGAAAAAGAAACAGAAACAGAAAUUGAAAUUUUACUUCAGGAUCAUGUGCAUUUUUAUUGGUAUGGUGAGUGGUAGAGAAUAACUUCGGGUUUCUGGGAGUUUGCAAAUUAUUUGUUUUAAUUCCUUUCAUGAAUUUUCUUAGGUACCAAGCAGGGCAAAUUCGGUGCUUUACGAAAGAUAUUGGUCAGGCUAUUUUUCUUAUGCAGAAUCUAUAGAAAUACAUGCUUGUUCUGUUCUUGUUUAAACUUUAGUCUUUAGUUUUGCAUUUGCUAUCAUCUGUUGCCUUGCAAUUACUCAGUUUUGAGGUGGAAUGGAAAGUUGAGAGGACAAUGGAUUGCACUGGUACUUUUGUGUAAGAAUUCUGUUAUAAUUGAUGCCCAUGUAUAUGACUUGUAAAUUAAAUUCGUUCUGAUCCAAUCUCACAUUAUGGUUUUGCCAUCGCCCUGGCCCUGUAAUUAUGAAUGGAAGAAAACAGAGUAUUGAAGAUUAUCUAAAGUCCAUUAAUCAUAA